GGUCCACGACGUAGGGUCGGCGGAGCUUCCUGCGGGGGAAGUCCGGUCGAAAUCCGGCGCUGACCCGCAACGGUAGGUCGUCCGCUCCGGCGGAGGACGAGCCCGAUCACCCGCAGGCGGCCGAACGGUUCC
rnacentral:ncRNA from 2 species